ACUUAAAUAGCUUAUAAAUUAGAGCAUAGUAUUGAAGAUUCUAAGGAGAUAAAAAAUGAUCUUUAAGUA
rnacentral:tRNA from 1 species